rnacentral:misc_RNA from 1 species
GAUAAGAACGUAGCGAAAUGCGAUACUUGGUGUGAAUUGCAGAAUCCCGUGAACCAUCGAGUCUUUGAACGCAAGUUGCGCCCGAAGCCAUCAGGUUGAGGGCACGUCUGCCUGGGCGUCACAUAUCGUUGCCCAAUGCCUAUUGCAGUGCAAUAGGAAUUUCUAGGGCGAAUGAUGGCUUCCCGUGAGCGUUGUUGCCUCGCGGUUGGUAGAAAAUCGAGUCCUUGGUAGGGUGUGCCAUGGUAGAUGGUGGUCGAGUUAGAACGAUACCGAUCAUGUGCAUGCUCCCCAAAAUAUGGCCUCUAUGACCCACACGCGUCUUUUGACGCUCAUGACGAGACCUCAGGUCAGGCGGGGCUACCCGCUGAAUUUAAGCAUAUCAAUAAGCGGAGGA